GAAGGAGUACAUGAUAAGACAUCCUUAAAUUCAGCAUUCAAGGUCGUAAUAAUAUCCUGAUACUACAGAUAUGCUGACAGCAGAGCACGGUGUCCGUACCAAGUGGAACCAAACUUGUAGGCAAGUAAACCUGACACCAUACCAAUAUGUAAAUAAGAAGCAAAAGCGCAAGGAAAACAUAGCUCACACAAAGGACCGAGAAUUAGUGGCAUAAAUUACCAAAAGCAACCAGUUGUCCUAUAGUUCAAAUCAAAUUCUAAAGCGGAGGCUGAAUAUGGUAGAGACCCGUCAUCUUUUUAUUUUAAAACUUGUAGCGCCAGGAAUUACUCAGGGACAUUGUACACUGCAACAAUUUAAUGUUUGCUUGUACAUCACCGAGGACAUAUAGCUCCAU
rnacentral:lncRNA from 1 species